rnacentral:tRNA from 1 species
AGGACGGUGGCGGAAUUGGUAGACGCACAUGACGCCCCCGUGGCGCCCUUCCCCACCCUGUUGCCCGCACGCGGGCCGACCGGCGGAAGGUGAUCUGGUUCAUCCAUCGCGAGAUUUGCAGGUUCAAGUCCUGCCCGUCCUC